rnacentral:rRNA from 1 species
UACGGAGGGGGCGAACGUUGAUCGGAAUUACUCGGCGUAAAGCGGGCGUAGGCGGCCAAGUAAGGCGAUUGUGAAAGGCCCGGGCUUAACCUGGGAAUUGCAAUCGAUACUGCUUGGCUAGAGUGUGGGAGAGGGAAGCAGAAUUCCCGGUGUAGCGGUGAAAUGCGUAGAUAUCGGGAGGAAUACUAGUGGCGAAGGCGGCUUCCUGGACCAACACUGACGCUCACGUGCGAAAGCGUGGGUAGCAAACUGG